rnacentral:rRNA from 1 species
CUUUGCCUACGGGGGGCAGCAGUGGGGGAUAUUGCACAAUGGGGGAAACUUUGAUGCAGCGACGCCGCGUGGGUGAAGAAGCGCCUCGGCGCGUAAAGCCCUGUCAGCAGGGAAGAAAAUGACGGUACCUGAAGAAGAAGCCCCGGCUAACUACGUGCCAGCAGCCGCGGUAAUACGUAGGGGGUAAGCGUUAUCCGGAUUUACUGGGUGUAAAGGGGGCGCAGACGGCUAUGCAAGCCAGGAGUGAAAGCCCGGGGCCCAACCCCGGGACUGCUCUUGGAACUGCGUGGCUAGAGUGCAGGAGG